GAUGAACGCUAGCUACAGGCUUAACACAUGCAAGUCGCGGGGCAGCAUGGGGGUUGCUUGCAACUCCCGAUGGCGACCGGCGCACGGGUGAGUAACGCGUAUCCAACCUGCCCUUCACCACGGGAUAACCCGGCGAAAGUCGGACUAAUACCGUAUGUUGUCCAUUGACGGCAUCCGAUUUGGACGAAAGGCUUUGCGGUGAAGGAUGGGGAUGCGUCCGAUUAGCCAGACGGCGGGGUAACGGCCCACCGUGGCUACGAUCGGUAGGGGUUCUGAGAGGAAGGUCCCCCACACUGGAACUGAGACACGGUCCAGACUCCUACGGGAGGCAGCAGUGAGGAAUGUUGGUCAAUGGGCGUAAGCCUGAACCAGCCAAGUAGCGUGCAGGAUGACGGCCCUAUGGGUUGUAAACUGCUUUUAUGCGGGGAUAAAGUGGCCCACGUGUGGGCUUUUGCAGGUACCGCAUGAAUAAGGACCGGCUAAUUCCGUG
rnacentral:rRNA from 1 species